CCGCCUCACCCUGCUAAUCCAUGCCGGCACAAGGAACAUGGAUGGCCCUCUCCUCACCCCCACGCGCUCCCUCGUGUUCUUCCCCGAGUCAGUAGGCGAGGAGACGGACGCGGAAGCCUCUCCAUGGCAUGCCGGCGUUGGAAACGGCGGCGAGCGGAGGAGUGGCGGCAGUGAGGGCCACCAUGGUUGUCUCUGCGGAGCCUCACAGCGCAAACAGUAGCAGUGCGGCCCUCACAGCCACGAGGCAAGGGGCGCCACCAUGGAUUUUCCUUGGAGCUCUGCCAUCGAGCCCCUGCCCCGUUCAGCUCGGUGCAAUCGCCGGUAUCGAGGAAGAACACGCCCAACCAUGUCCAUGACGCAGCUCUUCUUUCAGGUGUUGCAGACACCGGCAUCUACCAUGAAGCUAUUCAUUUUGGUCAUGUCAUUGUACAUGAGCAGCCCGCAAUAAGCUGGGACUGCCUCCCUUGUGUGGGGAUCAGUCAUCUUCUCCUUCACCAGAUUCAUUGGCGUCGCCACGGACAAGAUCUGCUCUUUGUCCUUCCAUGUUUUGCGCAGAUUUAUGUGAUGGAUUUUGGCAAUGAAACAUCAAUUAUGUCCUUGCCAGUGCCGUAAAUGAACCAAGAAACUACAGUAGGUAUGGAUGCAGUAUUUGUACUCCAGUUGAUCAGGUUUGUCUUUUACUUUCUUCAUAUGGAUGAAAAAGAUAGGUUAAUAUGGGUUGUUCAUAUUCAUGUUUGUCUGUCCAAGUAAAAACAGAAGGAACCAGAUUAUUUUGUAGCCUGGUUUUCAGUUAUUCUUUGUUUCAGUGAGUUUUUUUGUGUGGAUCCAACUAUUAAAUUGUGUGGAGCAUGUAAGAAAUGCGCUGAUGUUUGUUUGUCUAUUGUACAGAUAUAUAUUAUAUAUAUUCUAAGUUAAUUCAUCAAU